rnacentral:misc_RNA from 1 species
AACCAUAGAAACCUGCGGAGUACCUGCGGAGGGAUCAUUACAGAGUGUAACCCCCUGUAAAAUGGGGGUACCUCCCGUCCUUUGCAGGCCCUUUAGGGUCUUUUACACUUUGCUUCGGUGGGGUAACCCACCGGAACACUCUCAAAAAAUUCUGAUUUUAAAAUUGUUCAGUCUGAGAAUUCUGAAAAUAAAAUAAAAACUUUCAACAACGGAUCU